GACGAACGCUGGCGGCGUGCCUAAUACAUGCAAGUAGAACGCUGAAGAGAGGAGCUUCCUCUUCUUGGAUGAGUUGCGAACGGGUGAGUAACGCGUAGGUAACCUGCCUUGUAGCGGGGGAUAACUAUUGGAAACGAUAGCUAAUACCGCAUAACAAUGGAUGACACAUGUCAUUUAUUUGAAAGGGGCAAUUGCUCCACUACAAGAUGGACCUGCGUUGUAUUAGCUAGUAGGUGAGGUAAUGGCUCACCUAGGCGACGAUACAUAGCCGACCUGAGAGGGUGAUCGGCCAAACUGGGACUGGGACACGGCCCAGACUCCUACGGGAGGCAGCAGUAGGGAAUCUUCGGCAAUGGGGGCAACCCUGACCGAGCAACGCCGCGUGAGUGAAGAAGGUUGUCGGAUCGGAAAGCUCUGUUGUAAGUCAAGAACGGGUGUGAGAGUGGAAAGUUCACACUGUGACGGUAGCUUACCAGAAAGGGACGGCUAACUACGUG
rnacentral:rRNA from 1 species